UACGGAGGGUGCAAGCGUUAUCCGGAUUCACUGGGGUUAAAGGGUGCGUAGGUGGGUUGGUAAGUCAGUGGUGAAAUCUCCGGGCUUAACCUGGAAACUGCCAUUGAUACUAUCAAUCUUGAAUACCUUGGAGGUGAGCGGAAUAUGUCAUGUAGCGGUGAAAUGCUUAGAUAUGACAUAGAACACCAAUUGCGAAGGCAGCUCACUACACGGUCAUUGACACUGAGGCACGAAAGCGUGGGGAUCAAACAGG
rnacentral:rRNA from 1 species